UGGGGAAUUUUGCGCAAUGGGCGAAAGCCUGACGCAGCAACGCCGCGUGCGGGAUGAAGGCCUUCGGGUUGUAAACCGCUUUCAGCAGGGAUGAAACUGACAGUACCUGCAGAAGAAGCCCCGGCUAACUACGUGCCAGCAGCCGCGGUAAUACGUAGGGGGCAGGCGUUAUCCGGAUUUAUUGGGCGUAAAGAGCGCGUAGGCGGCUUGUUAAGCGAGAUGUGAAAACCGGGGGCUUAACCCGCGGCCUGCAUCUCGAACUGGCAGGCUUGAGUCUGGUAGAGGAGUGUGGAAUUCCCAGUGUAGCGGUGAAAUGCGCAGAUAUUGGGAGGAACACCAGUGGCGAAGGCGGCACUCUGGGCCACGACUAACGCUGAGGCGCGAAAGCUAGGGGAGCAAACA
rnacentral:rRNA from 1 species